AUGGCAGACCUGGUUGUUGGGUUGGCCAAGUCAGUGGUGGAGGGGGCGUUGACCAAGGCCCAGGUGGCCAUCGAAGAAGAGGCCAAGCUUCGGCAGAGCGCGCAGCGCAACCUGGUGUUCAUCACCGGCGAGUUCGAAAUGAUGCACUCGUUCCUCAAGGUGGCCGACGAGGAGCGCCUAGAGAACAAGGUGGUGAUAACGUGGGUGAGGCAGAUCCGCGAGCUGGCGUACGAUGUGGAAGACUGCAUCGAGCUCGUCAUCCACCUCGACAUGAAGAACAGGUGGUGGUGGCGCGUCGUCCCGUCCUGGUGCAUGGCGCUGCCGUUGCCGCUGGACGAGGCGGCCGGCGAGAUCGAGCAGCUCAAGGCGAGGGUGGAGGAUGUGAGCACUAGGAACACACGCUACAGCCUCAUCAGCGACACGGGAUCCAAGCCCGUCAUCCUGCAGCAGGAGCCGAUGGCAUCAAGCGCCGCCAUCGUCGCUGCAACCACGGCUGACAUGCUCGCCGAGGCAAGAGGUGCCACCAAGAGGCAGCAAGGAUUCAGCGACCUCACCCGGCUCAUCUCCAAGAAGAAGCAGGACCACGACAAUGGCCUUCAAGUCAUCUCGGUUUGGGGUGCAGCUGGCGACCACGGGACGACAUCCAUCAUCAGGAAGACCUACAACCACACAGAGAUAUGCCAAGAAUUCCCCUUCCGCUCCUGGGUGAAAAUCAUGCAUCCUUUCAAUCCGCACCAAUUCAUGCGCAACAUGAUGGCUCAGUUCCAUGCAACCUCUUGCAUGGAGCAAAGAGGAACCAUAGGCAGGGAUGUCUUUGAGAAGAUGGAGGCCACUCAACAAGAUCUCUUAAGUGAGUUUGAGCAGCUAUUCAACGAGAAGAGGUACCUCAUCGUCUUGGAAGGCCUGUCACACAUGGUAGAUUGGGAUGCUAUCCGGGCAUUCCUUCCUGACACCAUGAAUGGCAGCUGGAUCAUCGUGUCGACGCAGCAAUCCGAGAUAGCAACCUUGUGCAUCGGACACUCAUACCAGGUGGUGGAGCUUCGAAAGUUCUCGGAUGAGCACUCCAUUUGUGCCCUCUACAAGGCCUCUCAAGGCGAUGGGGCUAAAGACAAGAACCCAAUGGGUUCUGAUGGCGGUGAAGAUAAAGGCAAAGAACCAAUGGCUUCUCUCGAGAAAAUAAUUAGAGAGAAGAAAAUAAUGUCACUUAGAGAGGAAGCAGAUGAAUGGAAGCAGAAGAAUGAUGCCCUUGUUGGACGUGAGGCACGAAUGACUGAACUUGUUAAAUGUCUAGCUCAGGCACGUGUCAAUUCUCUCCCAGUGAUGUCCGUGUGGGGUAUAGCUCAAGUUGGGAAAUCAGCACUUGUCAAAAACUUGUUCUAUGACACAGUACUUCAGCUUCAGGGUGGAAACUAUGAGGAUUAUUAUUGGGUGGAUGUAUCCCAUCCAUUUAAUAUUAGAGACUUGUAUCUUAACUUGCUUUCAGAUUUUCAUUCGGAGAAAGAUCCAACUGAAGAGUGUCACCGUCUUCUGAAAAAAGGUUGGUGCCUCAUAGUUAUCGACGAUCUCCGGUCCACAAAGGACUGGGACAUGAUACAAGCUGCCUUGGUAUCCAAACAUUUAAAGAGUGUUGUCAUUGUUAUAACAACCGAUCCAACCAUUGCUGAAUAUUGCACAAAUAAAGAAGAACUUGUGUUUAAUGUCAAGGCUCUAGAAGCUGAUGCGGCCUUUGAUCUCUUCAAAAAGCAGGUACUUAAGAAGAGUUCAACAUACCCUUUGAAGGAUCAGGAGGCGGAUGUAAAAGACCUUAUUUCAAAGUGUGGCGGUCUUCCCAAAGUAAUAUCUGCUAUAGCUGGAUUACUGGCCACGAAGACAAACAGAAGGAUGGAAAUUAUUAAUUCUUUGAAUCAAAAAUUUAUGCACCGUCUGGAGACCAACCUGGAGUAUGAUAAUCUGCAAGAUUUAUUUGGCUGGAUGCACUCUUACUUCCGUACUUGUCCUGAUGCACUCAAGCCAUGUAUCUUCUACCUGUCGAUUUUUCCUCAAGAUCAAACCAUCCGGCGAAGACGACUGGUAAGGCGGUGGAUUGCAGAGGGUUACUCCAGGGACAGUGACAAUGAAUCUGCGGAGGAGAAUGGGGAGAAACACUUCUCUAAGCUCCUUGAAUUGAGCAUAAUCCAGCAGAUAUCAUCCGUCGACAGCUGUGCAUUCAGUGUGGACGAAGUUAGGAUGGUUAUGUGCCAGGUGAAUGGUUUCAUUCGAGAGUACGUCGUGUCACGGCGAAUGGAAGAGAAUCUUGUGUUCGAAUUGAGUGGAAAAUGUGCACUAACAACCCAACGCAACGGGCGUCACCUUGUCAUAUUGGAAAAGUGGAAAAGAGAUGAAAUUGUGUUUGCAAGCAUGGACUUCUCUCGGCUACGGUCACUAACAGUGUUUGGAGUGUGGGAGUCAUUCUUCAUCUCUGAAAGUAUGAAGAUGCUUCGUGUGCUUGAUCUAGAGAAUGCAGAGGCUUUAAAUGAUGGUGAUCUUGACAAGAUAUUUGAGUGGUUGCGUCGGCUCAAGUUCCUCUCAUUGCGAGGGCACACUGAGAUCAACCAUCUACCAGGUUCAUUACAUCAUCUGAGGCAGCUCCAGACACUCGAUGUGAGGGGCACCUCAAUAACCACCCUGCCAAAGAAGAUCACCAAGUUACACAAACUGCAGUAUAUUCGUGCCGGCAACCGCACCAUGGGCAUUGAACGAGCCGUUUCAUCCAGCAGCUGCAGCUGGUUGCCUGAGUUCUGCAGAUGUCAUCAUCCUACAAUCAGUGUUGAGGUGCCUACAAAGAUUGGGGAACUGACUGCGUUGCACACCCUUGGUGUUGUCAACAUCACUGCUUCAGGUGCAAAGAAUACUGUGAAAGAGCUCAAGAAGCUCACCCAGUUGCGCAAGCUCGGGGUGUUUGGCAUCAACGGGAAGAACAGCAGCAAUUUUUUCUCUGCAAUCGAAGAUCAUGCCCAUCUGGAGUCCUUGUCAGUUUCACUCAACAAGGACACCACGCGAGAUUGUUGCUUCAUCAGUAAGGACAACAACAGUCAAAGAUGCUUGGAUGACAUGAUCUCCCUGCCUUGUACAAACCUUCGGAGCCUUAAACUGUAUGGGCUUGAAGAUAAGUUGCCGAAAUGGGAGGGGGAGCAGCCUGUAAAGUUUGGAAAGCUCACAAAGCUGGAGCUGGAGAUGGCGUCUUUCCCAGAAGAUGUCAUAAGGUUUGUUGGCGGGCUUCCAGAACUAUGUAUUCUUCGUGUUAAGCAGCAUCAAGAUCGUCCCCUCAACUUCUGUGUCAUGGUGAAUGGAUUCGAGGAUGACUCCUACAAAAAGGUCAAGAUUCUCGAGAUUUCCUGCUCCAACAGUUUACCUGUGAGUGUGACUUUUGGAUCAUGGACAAUGAAAAAACUUGAGCUGCUCAAGGUUGACUGCUACGGUGGGUCACCGCCUUAUGAGUUCAGUGGCCUGGGAAACCUAGAAGAACUCAAGGAAGUCGUGCUAGUUAACGGCUCCAGCGCCCAAGCACUGAAGCAAGAACUCGAUCACCAGCUUGCCGAGGAGCACCCGAAAGAAAAGAAGCCUGUCGUGAAGCUGGAGCAACCACCACCUUCGUCCUGA
rnacentral:rRNA from 1 species